UACGUAGGGGGCAAGCGUUGUCCGGAUUUAUUGGGCGUAAAGAGCGUGUAGGCGGCCAGGUAGGUCCGUUGUGAAAACUCGAGGCUCAACCUCGAGACGCCGAUGGAAACCAUCUGGCUAGAGUCCGGAAGAGGAGAGUGGAAUUCCCGGUGUAGCGGUGAAAUGCGCAGAUAUCGGGAAGAACACCCGUGGCGAAGGCGGCUCUCUGGGACGGUACUGACGCUGAGACGCGAAAGCGUGGGGAGCGAACAGG
rnacentral:rRNA from 1 species